rnacentral:rRNA from 1 species
CCUACGGGAGGCUGCAGUGGGGAAUAUUGGACAAUGGGGGGAACCCUGAUCCAGCGACGCCGCGUGAGUGAAGAAGUAUUUCGGUAUGUAAAGCUCUAUCAGCAGGGAAGAAAGAAAUGACGGUACCUGACUAAGAAGCCUCGGCUAACUACGUGCCAGCAGCCGCGGUAAUACGUAGGGGGCAAGCGUUAUCCGGAUUUACUGGGUGUAAAGGGAGCGUAGACGGGUAGUCAAGUCAGAAGUGAAAGCCCAGGGCUCAACCUUGGGACUGCUUUUGAAACUGAGUAGCUAGAGUGCAGGGAGGGUAAGCGGAAUUCCUGGUGUAGCGGUGAAAUGCGUAGAUAUUAGGAAGAACACCAGUGGCGAAGGCGGCUUACUGGACUGUAACUGACGUUGAGGCUCGAAAGCGUGGGGAGCAAACAGGAUUAGAUACCCCAGUAGUC